GUUUUUCUAAAGGUAGUGUCAUUUCGUCUCUAAUACUCGACCUGGCCGGCUGCACCAUGUUCAUAGCGACCAUUCUCAUGCUGUUGGCACUCUUGGUUGCCAUUCAGGCGUGGCCAUUGUGGGGUGGAAGCGAUGAUUGGGACACGAAUUGGUUGGGCAACCUUGGAGGCGGUUCGGAUUGGGGCUGGGACUGGGACGAUUAGAGCACAGAAUCAAACGUGGUGAAUUGAGUACAUGAUGACAUCACAGACAGCCGAUGACCUACUGGACAUGUUAUGAAUGUGGAUUGAUAUUGGCAAUACAAUAAAUCCGA